rnacentral:tRNA from 1 species
GUCCUUGUCGAUUAGUGGUUAAAUCAUCUCGUUGUGGUCGUCCUGCUCCGUGAAGCCGGAAGUUCGAAUCCUCCCUGGGACA